rnacentral:rRNA from 1 species
UACGGAGGGGGCUAGCGUUGUUCGGAAUUACUGGGCGUAAAGCGCACGUAGGCGGCUUUGUAAGUCAGGGGUGAAAUCCUGGAGCUCAACUCCAGAACUGCCUUUGAUACUGAAGAUCUUGAGUUCGGGAGAGGUGAGUGGAACUGCGAGUGUAGAGGUGAAAUUCGUAGAUAUUCGCAAGAACACCAGUGGCGAAGGCGGCUCACUGGACACGUAUUGACGCUGAGGUGCGAAAGCGUGGGGAGCAAACAGG